UGGGGAAUAUUGCACAAUGGGGGAAACCCGUGAUGCAGCGACGCCGCGUGGAGGAAGAAGGUCUUCGGAUUGUAAACUCCUGUUGUUGGGGAAAAGAAGGAUGGUACCCAACAAGGAAGUGACGGCUAACUACGUGCCAGCAGCCGCGGUAAAACGUAGGUCACAAGCGUUGUCCGGAAUUACUGGGUGUAAAGGGAGCGCAGGCGGGUAUGCAAGUUGGAAGUGAAAUACAUGGGCUCAACCCAUGAACUGCUUUCAAAACUGUGUAUCUUGAGUAGUGCAGAGGUAGGCGGAAUUCCCGGUGUAGCGGUGGAAUGCGUAGAUAUCGGGGAGGAACACCAGUGGCGAAGGCGGCCUACUGGGCACCAACUGACGCUGAGGCUCGAAAGUGUGGUAGCAAACAGGAUUAGAUACCCUAGU
rnacentral:rRNA from 1 species